UGGGGAAUAUUGCACAAUGGGCGAAAGCCUGAUGCAGCGACGCCGCGUGAGGGAUGACGGCCUUCGGGUUGUAAACCUCUUUCAGUAGGGACGAAGCGCAAGUGAUGGUACCUGCAGAAGAAGCACCGGCUAACUACGUGCCAGCAGCCGCGGUAAUACGUAGGGUGCGAGCGUUGUCCGGAAUUACUGGGCGUAAAGAGCUCGUAGGCGGUUUGUCACGUCGUCUGUGAAAUCCUAGGGCUUAACCCUGGACGUGCAGGCGAUACGGGCUGACUUGAGUACUACAGGGGAGACUGGAAUUUCUGGUGUAGCGGUGGAAUGCACAGAUAUCAGGAAGAACACCGAUGGCGAAGGCAGGUCUCUGGGUAGUAACUGACGCUGAGGAGCGAAAGCAUGGGUAGCGAACAGG
rnacentral:rRNA from 1 species